AUUGAUUUGCCUGAAACUGGACCUGCUAUCAGAGCAGGGAGCCCUGAUCUCUGGAUAAUCAUUAAAACUCAGGCCCAGACAAGUUAGAGAGCAGGCCAGGAAAACAGGAGCAGGAAGAAUUGGGAGCAGAUUUUAUAAAGAAUGGAGGACCAAAAGCAAAGCUGCCCUCCAUCCCGGAAGAGUCCGAAGGACCUUCUACAAAAUGAGGGACUCACGUGGCCUCAGACUCGCUCUCUAGCCAAGGGUAACCUCUAACUUGCUGAGCCUCUAGGAAGACCACAGCAGAUACCCAAGCUCUCUGCAAAAGCUCCUCAAAUUCCAAUCUCUUCUGGACCCUUCAAGUGCUGGGAUUGCAGCAAGAAAAACAAAACCAGAGGAAGGGGUGAGAGAAAAAAAAGCAAAUGGGGAACUGAAAAAUUAUUGAAGGGCUGGUGAGGUGACUCAGUGGAAAAAGGAGCUUGCUGUCAAGUCUGAAGACCAGAGUUCAAUUCCCAGGACCCACCUGGUGGAAGUUGUCUUCAAACUGCCCCAUGAAUAUUCAAACACAAGCAUGUAUAUUCAUACAAAAUAAAUAAAUAUAAUUUAAAAAAAUAAACGGCUGAAAAGUAAACAGUA
rnacentral:lncRNA from 1 species